GAAACUGCCCAGACACCUACGGGUGGCUGCAGUCGAGAAUCUUCGUCAAUGGGCGAAAGCCUGAACGAGCGACGCCGCGUGCGGGAUGAAGGCCNUUGGGUUGUAAACCGCUGUCGAGGGGGAUGAAGGCANNCAGGUCCUCCNNNANGUUUGACAGAGCCCUGGAGGAAGCACGGGCUAAGUUCGUGCCAGCAGCCGCGGUAAUACGAACUGUGCGAACGUUA
rnacentral:rRNA from 1 species